GAACGCUGGCGGCGUGCCUAAUACAUGCAAGUCGAGCGAACGGACGAGAAGCUUGCUUCUCUGAUGUUAGCGGCGGACGGGUGAGUAACACGUGGAUAACCUACCUAUAAGACUGGGAUAACUUCGGAAAACCGGAGCUAAUACCGGAUAAUAUUUUGAACCGCAUGGUUCAAAAGUGAAAGACGGUCUUGCUGUCACUUAUAGAUGGAUCCGCGCUGCAUUAGCUAGUUGGUAAGGUAACGGCUUACCAAGGCAACGAUGCAUAGCCGACCUGAGAGGGUGAUCGGCCACACUGGAACUGAGACACGGUCCAGACUCCUACGGGAGGCAGCAGUAGGGAAUCUUCCGCAAUGGGCGAAAGCCUGACGGAGCAACGCCGCGUGAGUGAUGAAGGUCUUCGGAUCGUAAAACUCUGUUAUUAGGGAAGAACAUAUGUGUAAGUAACUGUGCACAUCUUGACGGUACCUAAUCAGAAAGCCACGGCUAACUACGUGCCAGCAGCCGCGGUAAUACGUAGGUGGCAAGCGUUAUCCGGAAUUAUUGGGCGUAAAGCGCGCGUAGGCGGUUUUUUAAGUCUGAUGUGAAAGCCCACGGCUCAACCGUGGAGGGUCAUUGGAAACUGGAAAACUUGAGUGCAGAAGAGGAAAGUGGAAUUCCAUGUGUAGCGGUGAAAUGCGCAGAGAUAUGGAGGAACACCAGUGGCGAAGGCGACUUUCUGGUCUGUAACUGACGCUGAUGUGCGAAAGCGUGGGGAUCAAACAGGAUUAGAUACCCUGGUAGUCCACGCCGUAAACGAUGAGUGCUAAGUGUUAGGGGGUUUCCGCCCCUUAGUGCUGCAGCUAACACAUUAAGCACUCCGCCUGGGGAGUACGACCGCAAGGUUGAAACUCAAAGGAAUUGACGGGGACCCGCACAAGCGGUGGAGCAUGUGGUUUAAUUCGAAGCAACGCGAAGAACCUUACCAAAUCUUGACAUCCUUUGACAACUCUAGAGAUAGAGCUUUCCCCUUCGGGGGACAAAGUGACAGGUGGUGCAUGGUUGUCGUCAGCUCGUGUCGUGAGAUGUUGGGUUAAGUCCCGCAACGAGCGCAACCCUUAAGCUUAGUUGCCAUCAUUAAGUUGGGCACUCUAAGUUGACUGCCGGUGACAAACCGGAGGAAGGUGGGGAUGACGUCAAAUCAUCAUGCCCCUUAUGAUUUGGGCUACACACGUGCUACAAUGGACAAUACAAAGGGCAGCGAAACCGCGAGGUCAAGCAAAUCCCAUAAAGUUGUUCUCAGUUCGGAUUGUAGUCUGCAACUCGACUACAUGAAGCUGGAAUCGCUAGUAAUCGUAGAUCAGCAUGCUACGGUGAAUACGUUCCCGGGUCUUGUACACACCGCCCGUCACACCACGAGAGUUCGUAACACCCGAAGCCGGUGGAGUAACCUUUUAGGAGCUAGCCGUCGAAGGUGGGACAAAUGAUUGGGGUGA
rnacentral:rRNA from 1 species